rnacentral:RNase_MRP_RNA from 2 species
UCCUCGCUCAAAGAAUCGCAUUCAAAGCUUACGAACAGGAGAAAAGCCAGUAACCCUUCAAAGGUUAUUUCUUUUCUUCAAACCAUCACUUCUAGCUUUGGGAGAAAGUCCCCGGACAACCUGCGCCCUCGCCGUAAAACCGCGAGGGUUCCUAUGUUUUUAAAUAAAACAAGCCAGGCAAUGCGGAAACGCGCCGCCAUAGAAGCAUUUUUCAUUGCGGCUUAAGCCUUUUCCCUUCCUUGUUCUUCUCUUUUCUUUUAGAGAGGAGAGAGGGCUCGUCUCCUCUAACCCGACUCUGCUCUUCGUGUGCUGGAGGAAACAAUGGUGGUUAGAUGAGGCGGGGAUUUUUUCGAGGGAUAGGUUGCCCUUCGUCGUGGUUCGACAGUCAUGCGAUUGCUUUUGUUUUCACAUGUAUUUUAUUAUAUGUGUGAACCAAGUAACUCGAUGGGGCUUAUUCUUGAGGCGAGG